rnacentral:lncRNA from 1 species
GGCUCCCGGCAGUGUAGCGGGAUGGUUCCUAGGUGUCAGAUCGAAGUGUUGUAUUUUGCAAAAAGUGCUGAAAUCGCUGGCGUUCGCUCCGAGACCAUCUCUGUGCCACAGGAAAUCAAGGCAUCACAGCUGUGGCAGGAGCUAGAGACUCUCCAUCCUGGGUUGGCUGAUGUUAGAAACCAGGUGAUAUUUGCUGUUCGUCAAGAGUAUGUCGAGCUUGGAGAUCAACAACUCCUGCUUCAGCCUGGAGACGAAGUUGCCAUCAUCCCACCAAUCAGUGGAGGAUAGUGCGUCUGAGCCAUCGGGGUAUGAGGCGAAGGACCCUCCACAGGAUACCUUGUGUGUGGUUUGCCGUUACUGUCUCUUUGAAAGAUGUGGAUGAUGUGCUGGAGAAACCUAAGGACAUAAUACAGUUCACUGCCAAGAAGCUCUCAGUGGGGGAAGUGUCACAGCUGGUGGUGUCCCCUCUGUGUGGCGCAGUGUCUCUCUUUGUAGGGACUACAAGAAAUAACUUCGAAGGCAAGAAAGUCAUUAGCUUAGAAUAUGAAGCAUAUCUACCCAUGGCAGAAAAUGAAAUCAGAAAAAUUUGCAAUGACAUUCGACAGAAAUGGC